AGAGUUUGAUUAUGGCUCAGGAUGAACGCUAGCUACAGGCUUAACACAUGCAAGUCGUGGGGCAGCAUGUUGGUUGCUUGCAACCAAUGAUGGCGACCGGCGCACGGGUGAGUAACGCGUAUCCAACCUUCCCUAUAGUAGAGGAUAGCCCGGCGAAAGUCGGAUUAAUACUCUAUGUUUUCCAAUGCAGACAUCUAAAAUGGAACAAAGGUUCACCGCUAUAGGAUGGGGAUGCGUCUGAUUAGAUAGUCGGCGGGGUAACGGCCCACCGAGUCGACGAUCAGUAGGGUUCUGAGAGGAAGGUCCCCCACAUUGGAACUGAGACACGGUCCAAACUCCUACGGGAGGCAGCAGUGAGGAAUAUUGGUCAAUGGGCGAGAGCCUGAACCAGCCAAGUAGCGUGCAGGAUGACGGCCCUAUGGGUUGUAAACUGCUUUUAUACAGGGAUAAAGUGACGUACGUGUACGUUUUUGUAGGUACUGUAUGAAUAAGGACCGGCUAAUUCCGUGCCAGCCGCAGC
rnacentral:rRNA from 1 species